UAAUUCAGUACUGUGUGUCUGUGUGUGCUUAUUCCUGCUAACAGUGGGCUGGGGAGGAGCCCAGGGACAGUGAGAGGGAGUGUAGGCUCACCAGGUCUUUAACAGUGGGCCAAAAUGCCAGACCCAUUUGUCCAGACCAACCAAGCCCAGUGGACCUAAGUCCAAAUGAGCCGUUGAGCAUCCACCGAGAUAGGGAGGGAAUCACAGGACCAGGGGAGGAACCGGCCCCACACCCUCCUUCUGGAGCCACACGAGACAGGGCCCCAAAAAAACUGAGCUUUGUUUUGGAGGAUGAGAGGGAGAAGUAGACACAGUGCCCUCUUCCCCUCCACCUUUCUCUGAAGCCAUUUGGCGUGUCUGUCUUCCCACUUUAAUUGCAUUCCAGCUGUCUGGAGUGAAGCAGUAAGAAAAUAAUUUUUACCUUCAAAGAUUUGCGUUGACUUUUUGAGCACUGAUUAGCUGCUGUUUAUUUUGAGGCACACAUUUUUUUAUAUGAUUUAUAUUAAACAGUUUGAUACCCCAAUGCUUGGAAAGGAAAUGGUUCAGUCCUGAAAUUUUAUGUAGAUGGAGAAAAUAAAAAUAAAAAAGUA